AGACCACUCAACCACUCACUAUGACAUGCACUGACCACCAAGUGGCAGACACUCCAAUUGGUAGGUUAGCUUACUACUGGGAUCUGGCCAAUCACGACUGAGCAAGAUGGGCGAGACAUGCCCUUGAC